GAUGAAGAACGUAGCGAAAUGCGAUAAUUAAUGUGAAUUGCAGAAUUCCGUGAAUCAUCGAGUCUUUGAACGCACAUUGCGCCUCAUGGCAUUCCGUGAGGCAUGCCCAUCUCAGCGUUAGAAAAUAUUCUCAAAUUUUAGUUUUGUGCUAAAAUUUGGAUCAUGUCAAGGAAGCUAUUACUAUUAUUGUGAUCGCUCUUUGGAAAUUGAUAGGUCUUUGAGUUGCUACUCAUAGAACGUGAUGAAUCUUUCUUCGUUUUAUUGUAAUUCACUCUGGUAGUCCUAAAACUUGUAUGCCUGUGGCAUAUCUUGUAAUUUGACCUGAGAUUGGGUAGGGAUACCCGCUGAACUUAAGCAUAUCAAAUAAGCGGAGGA
rnacentral:misc_RNA from 1 species